CGCGGCCUAUCAGCUUGUUGGUGAGGUAAUGGCUCACCAAGGCGUCGACGGGUAGCCGGCCUGAGAGGGUGACCGGCCACACUGGGACUGAGACACGGCCCAGACUCCUACGGGAGGCAGCAGUGGGGAAUAUUGCACAAUGGGCGCAAGCCUGAUGCAGCAACGCCGCGUGAGGGAUGACGGCCCUCGGGUUGUAAACCUCUUUUAGCAGGGAAGAAGCGAAAGUGACGGUACCUGCAGAAAAAGCGCCGGCUAACUACGUGCCAGCAGCCGCGGUAAUACGUAGGGCGCAAGCGUUAUCCGGAAUUAUUGGGCGUAAAGAGCUCGUAGGCGGUUUGUCGCGUCUGCUGUGAAAUCCGGAGGCUCAACCUCCGGCUUGCAGUGGGUACGGGCAGACUAGAGUGCGGUAGGGGAGAUUGGAAUUCCUGGUGUAGCGGUGGAAUGCGCAGAUAUCAGGAGGAACACCGAUGGCGAAGGCAGAUCUCUGGGCCGUAACUGACGCUGAGGAGCGAAAGGGUGGGGAGCAAACAGGCUUAGAUACCCUGGUAGUCCACCCCGUAAACGUUGGGAACUAGUUGUGGGGUCCAUUCCACGGAUUCCGUGACGCAGCUAACGCAUUAAGUUCCCCGCCUGGGGAGUACGG
rnacentral:rRNA from 1 species